rnacentral:rRNA from 1 species
UACGUAGGGUGCGAGCGUUAAUCGGAAUUACUGGGCGUAAAGCGUGCGCAGGCGGUUCGUUGUGUCGGUGGUGAAAGCCCCGGGCUUAACCUGGGAAUGGCCAUGGAAACUGGCGAACUGGAGUGUGGCAGAGGGGGGUGGAAUUCCGCGUGUAGCAGUGAAAUGCGUAGAGAUGCGGAGGAACACCGAUGGCGAAGGCAGCCCCCUGGGCCAAUACUGACGCUCAUGCACGAAAGCGUGGGGAGCAAACAGG